rnacentral:rRNA from 2 species
GGCGGACGGGUGAGUAACACGUGGGCAACCUGCCUGUAAGACUGGGAUAACUCCGGGAAACCGGGGCUAAUACCGGAUAAUUCAUUCCCUCUCAUGAGGGAAUGCUGAAAGACGGUUUCGGCUGUCACUUACAGAUGGGCCCGCGGCGCAUUAGCUAGUUGGUGAGGUAACGGCUCACCAAGGCCACGAUGCGUAGCCGACCUGAGAGGGUGAUCGGCCACACUGGGACUGAGACACGGCCCAGACUCCUACGGGAGGCAGCAGUAGGGAAUCUUCCGCAAUGGACGAAAGUCUGACGGAGCAACGCCGCGUGAGCGAUGAAGGCCUUCGGGUCGUAAAGCUCUGUUGUUAGGGAAGAACAAGUAUCGGAGUAACUGCCGGUACCUUGACGGUACCUAACCAGAAAGCCACGGCUAACUACGUGCCAGCAGCCGCGGUAAUACGUAGGUGGCAAGCGUUGUCCGGAAUUAUUGGGCGUAAAGCGCGCGCAGGUGGUUCCUUAAGUCUGAUGUGAAAGCCCACGGCUCAACCGUGGAGGGUCAUUGGAAACUGGGGAACUUGAGUGCAGAAGAGGAGAGUGGAAUUCCACGUGUAGCGGUGAAAUGCGUAGAGAUGUGGAGGAACACCAGUGGCGAAGGCGACUUUCUGGUCUGUAACUGACACUGAGGCGCGAAAGCGUG